UAUUGAAAUUUUUCAAUACAAACUACGACGAAAUGUUAAUUUUUAUAAAUAAACAAACAUCAAAGACAGAUAAAAUCCAAUAAUCCAUAGACAAAGGUAAACUCUGUGGAUAAAAUCGUUUUGCUAGGUCGAAAACGUCCGACGAAAAAGAUUGACAUCUGAUUGCUCAGAUAUCUUUGCCGAACGCUCCAGAUGUGUAUUCCCCUCAAUCUGGAUGUAAUAAACGAACGGUUCAGACAAGUCCGAGCGGUCCGAGGUAAUAACCGAACGCGCUUAAAGAAACUGAUAGGAUGUUAUAAACAGAAAGCAAAUUCAAAUGCAGUUCCAUCCAAAAUGACACUGUUUGGAAACUUUUAUCAACAGCGAUGGAAAGCUGCACACCAAACAGUGUGAAUUUAAUUUGAAAAGGUUUAAUUUGAAAAGGUUUCAUUUGAAAAGGCUUUACAUGAAGUCAGUGUACAAUAUGGGCUCCAAAGGGUCUGGGGAAGCACCUAGGUAUUUCAAUUAUUUCGAUGAAAUAUUUUCCAACAGAUCCAAUGUGGAGGAUACGCUAAAACGGAUCAAAUAUUUGGACCCGAUCGAUGAUUCGGGUAUCUUCGUGAAUCGGCUGCGUCGUACAUCCUCGAGUUCCCGAACUCUGUAAAAUCUGCAACUAAAACAUUACUUGACACCAUAGAGUAAGUAUACAUACUUGUUCUAUGCUUGACACUUGUCAAUAAUAGACACGGACAAUACAUUUGCCUCUAUUUGGGUAUAUUCGAAUUUUUCAAGUGAAAAAGUGUUAAAGGGCAAUUUUUAUUGCUUAAUUCAUACAAAUAUAUUGGUUAAUGAGAAAAAACAAAUUUUACCCAAAUUCCUAAAUUAUCUGAAAAAGUAAGCAGAAUUUGGCAGAUUGUUUCUAACGAAACUAAUCAUGGAUAUUUUUAAGUUAUUACUUUCAAAAUCAACAGAGAAUAAUGAUGUGGCCUAUUGCUAAAGAAUAGGAGCAGGUAUUCAUACAAAUAUGGCGAUAGAGAGCUUGAAUAAAUAUCUGAAAUCUAAUAAAAUAGAAGGAAAAGAAAAUGAGAGUUGAAAAGCUAUCACUAUCAGAUUUGUUGGAAGGAAUAGUUGAUGAGAAGAUGUGGAUGAAAAUUAUGAGACAUGAAAGAUCUAACUCCAACAACUAUCAACAAAAAAUGUCUGUAGAAUCUCAUAAAAAAGCAGAAACAAUGAAAGACUUAAUUUAGGAGGUCUGUAUAUGAUGAUAAAUAUUAUAAUACACAAUUUAUAUCAUGUGAUCCAGAUUGUGGUUUAAGAUAUUGAAGUCAUUGUUAAAUAUGCUUGCACAAAUAUAAAAAAUCAAUUCUGUUUCAGAUGACGACAACAAUUUAGAAAUUAAUGAGCCAUCAAUAAGUUAACAAUAAUGAAGAUGUGAGACAUUUUAUAGAUGAAACCAUUUCUAGUUCACAAAAUUUCACAUCUAUAAGCAAUGACACAGAAAAUGAUUUGCUGAAAUGUGUAAAACAAUUGAAGACUCUCAAUCUAUAAGGAAAGAGGAAAUUAUUUGCAACUAUCAAUGGAAAAUUUUCCAAACAUAGGGUCAAUGCCAAGAAGAACUAAUAAGCAAAUCUAUUUCCCCAGAAAAAAAAUGAAUACAGAGACUACCAGAACUUCAUAGCAAAUAAUUUAGAACAUUGAAAUGAGAUUGACAAAAAAUCGAGGUAACAAAUUCUAACUGAACCAGCAUGUUACACAUAUAAGAGACGUACAAUGUUCAAAUGUGGAUAGAAGAACCAGUCAAUAUCAAAAUAAAAUAGGAUAUACAUCCUUUACAUAAAUUAAUUAUAAUUAAUAUAUUAUAUAUAAUAAUAUAAUAUAAUUAAAUAUAAUUUUGAACAA